rnacentral:lncRNA from 1 species
CCGCAGCCGCCCUCAGCCCUCCCACCGCCGCGGGUGCCCUCCUCCUCCCUCUGCGCCGGCACGAGCCCCCGCCGCCUCCUCUCUCUGGGUCGGCGUGCGCAUGCUCGGGCGUGAGCCCCCGCCGCCGCCUCCUCUUCCUCUCUCUGGGUCGGCACGCGCCUGCUCCGGCGCGAGCCCCCUCCUCCUCACCGGGCCGGAUCGCGCCGCCACCAUCGCCUCCUCCUCCGCCCUCUGGGCCCCGCCUCUCCUUGCUAUGGGCCGGCGCGCCCACUGCCUCCUCCUCCCUCUACGCCGGGACGCGCCACCAUCUCCUCCUUCCUCUGCGCCGGCGCGCGCCACUACUGCCGCAUCUCCUCUCGUUGGAGCCGUUGCUACCGCGUCACUCUCGCCGAAGACGCGCCAAGUCAUGGGGUCCCACCCGUGCGCCUCUCCUCUUCACUCUCUCUGUCACGUGGGUCCAGACGGACGCGGACGCGGACACUCCAAACCUCUCCCAAAUUUGGGGGCAAUUUGAGAGACGAGGCAGGACAUUUGGCACAAUUUGUCCGUUUAGGGGAUGACAUUGGGGGAUGAUUUUGAGGAUAAAAUAUCCAUAUCCCUCAAAUAAGACAUUUGGAAUAACUUUGGGGGAUGCCAUUAAAGAUGCUCUAACCUAUUCUCGUGUUUUGUUAUAUUGUGCGUUUUUCUAUUUGUAUGAAUCAAAUAGCCAAGUACCGAAACUCGUGUAUUUUCUAAUCAUAUGUUUCACAUGUCCGUCUUCUAUUUGUAUUUCCAAAAUUUUCUACUCCCAGACCGGAAUUACUUGUCGAAAUAUUACAUGUAUCUAGACGCUUUUUAAACAUAAAUAUAUACAUAAUUUGGCAA